AGUGCAUUCCCAUCUGUUUCCAAAUAUCUCCCGGAUCUUCAGGGAUUUGUAUGACAGUCUGCAUGCGGAUGAUCGUGAUAUAGAUAUCCUCCUUUCAGCAUCACAACUCCACUUGUCAUCGGAUGGAACCAGGUCCCAGCUUCCUCCUUCCAGAUCAAACAGAGGUCUUUUACAUUUGGUGCCAAAACCCGGGAAGGAGGAAGAGCACACUGUCCGGGAGAACUCGCCACUGUCAUGCGCCAGGAAGCUGAGGAGCCGUUGCCAGCCGCCAGGGGACAGAGGACCCGUUGCCGUCUGCCGGGUCACAGAGGAAGCACUGCUGGCCGCCAGGGGGCAGAAUGGCUGAGGACCAGUGGACGGCAUGUUCGGAACCAGUUCCCAGGAGGCGAGAUGGCCCAUCGGGUGGCUGAAUGGCCGGAAGGGCAGCGUCUCCCCUCCAGAGAUGGGGGAGAGUAAGCCAAUCCGGAUGGCGCCCUGGCCUGAAUCUGGCGGUGGACGUGAAUGGUGUGACGUGGAGGGUGCACGGCCGGCGCUGAGUCACCUUAUCAGGGGGAGAGAGAUAAAGGGGAGCCGGAGACGCCAGUGAGAGAGAGAGAGACAUACACAAGGAGUUAUGUUUGUGUGUCUUUUUAUGUUAUGUUGAAGUUCAUUUGUAUCAUGAAAACUUUGUUGACACUAUUCAGCUGGGUCCCAGCUUCCUCCUUUCCCGACAGAACAGAGGUCUUUUACAACAGAUUUUUGCUUUUUUUUUUUAAGAAAAGGAGGGACGAGUCGAAAUGUAUUUUUGUGGUAAUCAGCAUUAUGCCACAAAUGCUGCUGAUUGAGUUUAACUUGUAUUGAACCCAGAAUAUUCCUUUAAUAACCGGUUAAAUUUGUUUUGAUCAUUUUUUCAUGAAACCAAAGGGUUUAUCAUAUCUUUGAACAAAGUGUUUAAGAUAUCAUAUAUUCUUUGUGUCAAUUAUUUUUGUAUUAGGUAUAAACCUAACUUAUGCAAUUUUGCUUCCUUGUAGUAAAAAAAUAAAUAAAUAAAGUUUUUGUGGAUCCUUACAUAUUUUUUUAAGCUAGUUUUUUUUUUUUUUUUUUUCUGAAAGCAAACAAAUUUAGUGAUUAAAGGAAUGUGUGAACAAAUCUGUCUUCCAGAGAGACACUUACAAUGGAAGUCAAUGGGGUCAAUUUUUGAGGGUUUAAAUGCAGAAAUGUGAAGCUUAAUUUUAUAAAAGCACUUACAUUAAUUCUUCUGUUAAAACUCAUGUACUAUUUCAGCUGUAAAGUUGUUUAAAUGGUCAUUUUACAGCCGUUUUAGAGUUUAAAGCAUUAAAGCAGGUAACGUAGUUGUAAAAUUGUCUAUAACUUUACACAGAUGCGGUUAGUAAGUGAUUUUAUCACAGUAAAAUCAUGUUAACACACAUAUUGUUUGUCUUGUGUCUAUACUUUUGAAACAGUGAGUAUUUUAACGUUUACGGAUUGUUCCCAUUGACUUCCAUUGUAAGUGUCUUACUGUAACACAGAUUUUUGCUUUUUUUUAAAGAAAAAAGGGAUGUCAAAAUUCAUUUUUGCAGUAAUCAAUAUUAUGCCACAAAUGCUGUUGAUUGAGCUUAACUUGUAUUGAACCCGGAAUAUUCCUUUAUUAAAAGUGUUUUUGUAGUGUAAACACUAUCUGACGUCAUUGGAUCAGAGUUUUUUUUUUAAUAAAAAAUAAAACAUGCAACAUAAGCUGAUCUUUUGUUUUAUAUGUGACUUAUUAUACCACAACACAGCCAAACAGCAAUUGUACUUUGUAUAUUCAUAAUGUUUUUCAUUAUACCCCAGACAGGGUUAUCAUUGCAUUUUGCGUCAGGAUUACUGGUAAAAUUUGGGCAUGCAGCACAUUUGCUGCACCUGUGUGCGGCUUUACAAUACCGUGUUUCUGAUAAGAACUAUCCAGACAGCCAGCUACUAUCGUUGCAAAGGCCUUGUUAUGUUUAUUCUGUUGGUUCAUGUUUUUCAUGUCUUUUAUUUUGAAAAUCUAGUUCCUGUUUCAUGUCAUGUGGUCCCAUGGUCAUGUGAUUUCAUGUUUCCCUCCAUGUUUGUGUAUGUAACUUUGUUGGUGGAUAGCGGUCCAUGUUUUGUUUCAUAGUUUAGCCAAGUUAUGUCAAGCUUAGUCAAGUCAUUCAUGUUUAUGUUUAUGUUUGUUUUGUUCACGUUUUGAAGUUAUGGUUUUUGGAUCUCCCUUUUGUUAAUAAAACUGCACUUGGGUUCUACACUUCAUCAUCGUCUUCAUUGGCAUUGCCAGUGCCAGCAUCAUUACAGGCCUGUUUGACUACUGAAUGUGUCCAGCAGUGUCUGUCAUUAUUCUGUCUGUUACCAGGCCAUUACACGUCGGUGAGAAUCAAAUUUACAUUAUAGAUUUAUCUUUUUUCGAAUGCUGUCUUUUACCGCAAGACAUGAUUUCUGCAAUAGAACACAAUUCCAAGCGGAUGGUCUUUUGGAAAUAUCAUGAAGAGCCAAGAAAUCCUUGCCGUCAUUAAAAGUAUAUAUUCUCUGUGUGAUGCCACAGGGAAAGUCUUUAAAAGCAGCGCAUCCAUUACCAAUUUUUCCUUUUUACAGCUUAUAUUUUAAUGCCUUUAUUGCCUAAAAUCAGUUGGAUCAGGAUUACUUUUGAUCUGAGUGCUUAAUUCUAUAAUGUACUUUUGCCAUUAUAAAGGCCCGGGUAUAUUUUGUUUUUGCCCAUUGCGGAUCGGAUCUUGCCCGGUCGGGCACAUUGCCUUUCAAAGUAUACUCUGCUGACUUUAUCACCCAGUCUCAGCACAGGUUACUGCCAUUUAAAAAAAGUUUUAUUAAGCGUCCUUUUAUUUUUUGUUCUAAUUGGUCACCAUUUGGAAAGAAGGCUGCGGAACGCUGAAACCGGAAAGAAAAAAUAGUUUCUGCUCAGAAAGAAAAAAAAUAAUUGUCCCUGACAACAACGUGAAUAAAACUGUGCAAAUGGUCAAACAAUGCAACCAUAUUAUUCUUGCCCCAGUGCAUGCUGGAAAGAGGAUGAUACACAAACAUUUAGUGUAGGCCAAUUUGAACAUUUGAAUAUAUAUAUUAAUCCAACGCCCUGCUAUGCUUAUUGGUUAGACUACCAAAUCAGAGUAUAUUGUAAUAUAAAAGCUGCAUCAAUUCGAAUUUGUUGCUGUCCUUAACCUCAACGAAUGCUGUUGUUGUGAAAGCACAUUUUUAAAAGUAUGGUUUUAUUUUUUAACAUAUUUGUGCAGCUCUUCUGUCAACAGAGUUCUCCAAACCCCAUAAAUCAUUGUUAGAGAUAAAAAGCUGUCCAGCUUUGAUCACAAUGAAUAGUGAUGUUCGGUUCGUGAACAAAUUGUCCUUUUAAGUCGGUUCGUUUCAGAAAACUUCACCAAAUCAGACUGAAUUGGUUUGGAACAGUUUGUGUCUUGAGUCAGCACUGAUCCACAAUCAAUGAACCUGUCUCUCGGACGUGCCUGACACUGCGACCUGAAAUGAGCCGAUAACCCAGAGUAAUAUGAUCCUAAACUAGGGAUGUCUACUUUUGCUAAUUAUUCUUUGCAAUUAACUGCUCGGACUAGUUCGCAAAUCGGACUGAAUAAUCCCGUUGCAACAUUUCUCAAGUUAACAGUACACUGAACUGAGAACUGUCCCUUUCGGACAUGUCCGCAAUGCCGAGAAGCAAUGAGUGAGCUGCUGAUACUAGGAGCAUGGGUGUUUGACUGUGGGGAGUGGGGGUAAAAUGAAUGUUUCUACUUAGGAAUUUAGGAUGGACUUAGCAUGAAACGUGUCUGGAUUCCAUCUUAGCCAUUUUGCAUUCAAAAAAUGCCCCCUUUUAGGCUAGCUAAACCUUGCUGUCAUUGUGAAGUUUUUGACUUGGAAGCUAUUUUCAUAGGUACUUUGCUUCAAUUUAACAAACUUCUGGAGCUCUGCUUCAAAAACAGAGAAAACUCAGAACAGAUCCUCUCCACGGAUAUCUUUUGUAAAAGGUGAAAGAUUUAUGGGUAAUGAAAACAUACUUGAGCUGUACCCUUGAUAACUCUUUCUCUACUACACCAUAAACCUCAAGAAGGAUAACCUCAGGUUCAGGCUCCUCCCAGCUUUAUUUUAAUCUGUGAACUAUUACAAUUGGAUGGAGCAAAACUCUUAAAAUUUACCUUCAACAUGAAAUAACUACAAUCCUAAUUUGAAGGGAAAUCCCUGAAGAUAAUAGUUUGUCAGAUUAGAUUUAGGUUAGGGAUUUUGAAUUCACAAUUGCUUAAGACAAGACAUUAUGUACUAAAUAAUAAUUUAGGGGUCCCUUUCUUAAACUCAUGCCCAGUGUUUUAGUCCAAUGCAUCCAGUGGUGUAGUGGGGACUAAAGAGGUGGGCAUACAGUGAAUUUAUCAAGCCCCCCAACCAGUGUUUAGGACUCACAGAGUUUAAGAGUCUUAUGUGAAAAUUAGCAUAUUCAUUUAAGUUGAUGUUAUGUUACAUGUAUGUUCUUGUUAUUACUAGUAACAUGGGAAACACUUAAUAAUUUUGCCACCUAGUCUCAUAGAAUGAACGUUACUAUAACUGCAUUUUUGCAAACUGACUUACAAACUGAUGAAUUCUACAUUUCACAGCAGUUUGCCUGGUGAAAUGAAUAUUACAGGCGCCACAAGAACUGUGCGUUUUAUUCACUUUCACACAAAUCAGGACUACAAUGGCUGAUUAUGACACUAUAAACACUUAUUUUUUGCACUAUUACUCACACACUGCUAUGUUAUUAUAUCAUUUCACUUUCACUGUUACGCAUCUUUUAAAAAACAACACAUUUUAAUGCUUGAAUUAAAGACUCACCUGCAGUUACACACUUAUUCCAAUGUGAUUAGCUUCUGCAGAAGCUCACCUGAUAGAGUGUCAGACAUUGGACUAAGAGGACAUGGUUUGAGCCCAGCCAAAAUAUAUGUUUUGUGUUUACCUCUCAUUUGAUUUAAGAUCACUAUUGGUUAGGUUAAGGCUAAAGUUUUAGGUUAUGGAGGUAUGUUUUACUCAUUAAAACCUCCAUCUAAUAUUCAUCUUAAAAACCUUGUCUGAUUAUGACAUCAUUUCACUCGCUUUUGGCACCCUCUGCUGGACAGUUCACAAGGAAACGGCAGCCAAAUGUGUAAUAAGGCACGUAAAUUUAGUCUGGCACAAAAAAUUUUGCCAUGCUCACGUAAUGUUCAUGAGACUAGGCUGUAACUUUUAGUACUAAACUAAUGCAUAAUAAUGUAUCAAGCAGUGUAAGUAAUAUUCACGUUAUUAUAAGUUAACUGUUGUUUUAUUUGUGUACCAUAAUGUGCUUGUUCUCUGUCUUUCACUGUGAAAUGUUUUCCCACAAAGAAACAUACAGUACAUUGAAAUGAUCUGAUACAUCACUAGAGAAUAUCGAUAAAUCGCCCCUCCGUGCCCUUGAAGGGAGGAUUUCUGUAUACUUUUGAAAGUAAAAAAUUCAUUUGAAAUCAAUCUACAAACUGAUCAAUUUAAAAAGUUGCAGGCCAAGGCCAGCUCGUUGUUCUGACGGCCUUUGAUACCUAAAAUCACACAUUUUAGGUGAGCGUAUGCAAAAUCCUUAGAAAAAUGGAUUGGCAUACGGCGUAUACUUGCAUAUGCGCUAGAAUACACUCCUGAAUGUAUCCAUCUUGUACUAGAACAGUGAUCCUUUUAAUGCUCGGAAAAUCUUGCUUUCAUGCUGCAUAACAAAGAUUUGAAGUUGUGAAACAGGAAAACCCCACAGCUUGGGUGAGUUCCCAACUUCAGAUAACAAAAACUGUGCUUCAUUUCACAACCUUUCUGUAUAUGAAGGUCUACAUAUUCAGCAAAGAUUCAGAUCUUGUAGAUUACAAUGAAAAACAUAAAAAUAAAUAAAUAAUAAUAAUAUAUAUAUAAAUAUAUAUAUAUAUAUAUAUAUGGCAAAUACAGAGCAGUAAAUAAUUUGCAAUGCAUUGUGUUGUGGUAGCUGCUUUUCAUCUUGCUCAUUGCAUUUACAAGCCGGUGACCAGCAGAUGUCCUCAGGGCAAACUUGAAAGACAUGAAUGUGUUGGGUUUUUACUGUAAGGUGCUGUCCUGCUUGUGAGUCCUAUGGGAAGCUCAAGUUUAAAAGUCCUCUGUUCUCCAACAAACUUAGUCCACCCAAAACUCACAAAUGUUUAAUUAAAAUAAAAUACCACUAACAAUGAAGAGGGAGUGGCAUGGAGGCUCAGUGGUUAGCACUGUUUGAGUCCCAGCUCAACUGGGCCUUUCUGUGUGGAGUUUGCAUGUUCUCCCUGUGUUCUUGUGGGUUUCCGCUGGGUUAUCCAGCUUCCCCCAAAAGUCCAAAAACAUGCAGGUUAAGUGAACUGGAAACUCUAAAUUGCCCUGUAGGUGUGAGUGAGGGUCCCCCAGUCACUGGGGGUUGCAUCAGUAAGGGCAUCCGCCAUAAAACCUGUGCCAAGUCAAAUAUGCGGAUCACAGAUGGUCUGUCGUGGUGACCCCUAACGGGAUCAGCCAAAAGAAGAAGACAACGACCUACAAACAAUGAAGAAAAACAUUUGAGGUGUAGCCGUGAUCCUUUGGGAACCCUCCACAGCGCCUCCUCUGGACAUCCUCUACUACUUGAUAAUGUUCCAUGCAAUCUGCGGCACCGGACGGUCCUCUGGUUCCCAGUUUGACCUUGCUCGAAAGGUGAUAUGUUCUGCUCCUCCUCUCCUUCAAAGAAUGUUGCCAGUUUCAGGGAGUAUGUAAACUUCUGACUUCAACUGUAUAUAGUACAAUUCCAGUUGUUUUAUUUCUGUAUGUACCUGAAGCUUCUGAUCAGAAAAAUUCCUGGGCACAUCUUGGCAAUAACAAUCCGAUAUCUGAUGGUAUCAGGUGGCAAUACAAUGGUUCUUUAUAUUCAAUUACCAUAUUUAUGUACCAUUCUGUAUUUACAGGGUGCAUCAAAGUACUUCAAAGAAUACCAUGGUACAUGUCCAAAAAAAUCACAGUAAUGUCAUGGUGAUUUUUAGGUACCUGCAGUAGUCGUUCACAAGCUGCACACGUGUUGAACUUCAGAGAGACAUUCUUCAUCACUGGCAAACGAUAGGACGCAUUUGCAGGUUUGUUUCCAUUGAUUGUAGAUAAUCAUCCACUGCAAUCUGCGUUACCUUUAUUCUCUGUGUUUUAAAGUAUUCUGUUAACGUGUUGUCAAGUUAAACCACUCCAAACAAUUCAGUACGUCGGAGUGAUUCAGGAUGUUUUGCUAACACGUGUGACCAAUUCACUGUAAAGAACCGACUCAAAAGAGUGAUUCAUAUUUUUAGUUCUGAUUCAAAACUGGCGUCGGUAAACACCUGGGUCUUCAUGUCUAAAACUUUGCGUAGAUUUCAUCCUUAAAGUGUGCGUAAGCACAAAAGGCAGAUUUUGCGUACGCACAAAAAAAUUCGGAUUUAUAAAACCGUACAUACGCCAGAACCUGCGCAUUGUUCUCUUAAUAAAUCCCAGCUAGAGGAAGACUGCGCUUACAUGAACGUGAUUCAUUCCCCACCCCGUCUCCUCCCAAAAAUAACCAACACCUGUUUUUACUAUGCAUAUCCUAUCUGCAUACAAUUACCAUAUGCAUUUCACCAUCCAGACACGUGAUUACUGCGUUUAACGGUACGAAAAUCUGUAUUAUAAGAGAUAAGACUGUAAAUAUCACAUGUGCCCAAAGGUUAGAUGCUGCACCAUGGAGAAACAUUAUUUAUUAAGAUAUUAACUUGUUUCAAAGAAUAUAUCUUGAAUAUCCCUUGGUAAAAUCUUUGCAGACAUAAAUCUAACCUAAGCAAUUUUGCUUCUCAGAAAACCUUUUAAAUCGUUUUAAGUGUGUUUUUAUUGAGGAGUUAAAUAUUUAGUACUGGAAAUAAAAUGAAAAUUAUUAAAAUUCUUUGUGCAGCAUUGUCUGAUAUCAACGGACUACUAAGAUUUUAUAUUUGACUGGUAUUAUAUAUAUAUAUAUAAAUGAACAAUGUUUUUAUUAGACUAGAACGGGGGUUUCAUUGCGAUGAGGGUCAGGAUGAAGUGGAGCAGGCAGCAUUUUCUAUGCAUUGCUGUACCUGUUUACAGCUGUACAAUACUGUUUCUGAUGAGACAUGUCUCUCCAAUGAUCUGUUCGACUACUGAAUGUGGCCAGCAGUGCCUGUCUUAUAGCUACUGUCCGUUUUACUGAGCCAUUUCACGUCAGUCAGAGUCAAGUGCGCAUCGCAUUAUAGAUCAUCUUUAUCCAAAUGCUGUACUUAUCUCAGUACAUGAUUGUAAUAGAACAGACAAUAUCUCAAACUAAGAAAUCUUCGCUGUCAUUUUUAGUUACUGUAUGUUCCUUCUCUAUGGUGACACGGGAAAGUUCUCCAAACGCAGCACAUCCCAAACCCAUAUUUCCCUUUUACAUCUUAUAUUGGAAUGCCUUUUUAAUUGGUUACAUACAAAUAAUAUAGUCUUCUAUUGGCUUAACGAUUACUUCUGUUUCAAGUGCUUAACUACUUAACUUUUUUUUUUAUUCUAAACGUGAAUUAAAUGAAAAUCAGUUUAUAAUCAGUCUGUUCAGUUCAUUAUUUGUCCAGCUGGUGUCGCCAAUUCACACACACCAGUAGAAAAAUGCGUACGGUGCGCACAUAUUUACGGCAAGUUUAGUUUUUAUAAAUCCCGAUACAGGGGCCUAGUGUAUAAACGUUGCGUACGUACAAAAUUGGCAUUGAAAUGUGCGUACGCAAUUUUCCACGCACACAUCGUGAUUUAUAAAAAUAAACUUAGCGUAAAUAUGUGCGCACCGUCCGGACACUCUUGACUGUGCGUAC